rnacentral:lncRNA from 10 species
CCAGGUGAUUUUGCUGCCGAGUGAUUUUGCCCAGCUGUGGCCUAGGUCAGAGUUCUGAGCAAGUCGAAGAUGGGAAAGCAGAUUUUACAUGGCACAGGAGGAAUGAGAACCCUCUCCAAGUAGGGCCCUCUCCCCGGGUCCCAGCGUGGAUUGUACCAGCCAGGACGAUGCAGGGAGGACGAGGUCACGCCCCAAGCCUCGCUUGGUACAGAAAUGCUGAAAGGAGAAAGACAAAAAACAAAAAAAAGCCUCUAUUGUGAUUUCAU